rnacentral:rRNA from 1 species
GGGUUGUGAGGUUAAGCGACUAAGCGUACACGGUGGAUGCCCUGGCAGUCAGAGGCGAUGAAGGGCGUGCUAAUCUGCGAUAAGCGCCGGUAAGGUGAUAUGAACCGUUAUAACCGGCGAUACCCGAAUGGGGAAACCCAGUGUGACUCGUCACACUAUCAUUAACUGAAUCCAUAGGUUAAUGAGGCGAACCGGGGGAACUGAAACAUCUAAGUACCCCGAGGAAAAGAAAUCAACCGAGAUUCCCCCAGUAGCGGCGAGCGAACGGGGAGGAGCCCAGAGCCUGAAUCAGCAUGUGUGUUAGUGGAAGCGUCUGGAAAGGCGCGCGAUACAGGGUGACAGCCCCGUACACAAAAGCGCAUGUGCUGUGAGCUCGAUGAGUAGGGCGGGACACGUGGUAUCCUGUCUGAAUAUGGGGGGACCAUCCUCCAAGGCUAAAUACUCCUGACUGACCGAUAGUGAACCAGUACCGUGAGGGAAAGGCGAAAAGAACCCCGGCGAGGGGAGUGAAAAAGAACCUGAAACCGUGUACGUACAAGCAGUGGGAGCCCCACCACCA